CAGUAGCCGCGGUAAUACGAAGGGGGCUAGCGUUGUUCGGAAUUACUGGGCGUAAAGCGCACGUAGGCGGAUCGAUCAGUCAGGGGUGAAAUCCCAGGGCUCAACCCUGGAACUGCCUUUGAUACUGUCGAUCUGGAGUAUGGAAGAGGUGAGUGGAAUUCCGAGUGUAGAGGUGAAAUUCGUAGAUAUUCGGAGGAACACCAGUGGCGAAGGCGGCUCACUGGUCCAUUACUGACGCUGAGGUGCGAAAGCGUGGGGAGCAAACAGGAUUAGAUACCCCGGUAGUCCCUGUCUCUUAUAC
rnacentral:rRNA from 1 species